rnacentral:rRNA from 3 species
UGCUGGAGGUAUCAGAAGUGCGAAUGCUGACAUAAGUAACGAUAAAGCGGGUGAAAAGCCCGCUCGCCGGAAGACCAAGGGUUCCUGUCCAACGUUAAUCGGGGCAGGGUGAGUCGACCCCUAAGGCGAGGCCGAAAGGCGUAGUCGAUGGGAAACGGGUUAAUAUUCCCGUACUUGGUGUUACUGCGAAGGGGGGACGGAGAAGGCUAUGUUGGCCGGGCGACGGUUGUCCCGGUUUAAGCGUGUAGGUGUGUGUUCCAGGUAAAUCCGGUUCACUUUAACACUGAGGCGUGACGACGAGGCACUACGGUGCUGAAGCAACAAAUGCCCUGCUUCCAGGAAAAGCCUCUAAGCAUCAGGUAACAUCAAAUCGUACCCCAAACCGACACAGGUGGUCAGGUAGAGAAUACCAAGGCGCUUGAGAGAACUCGGGUGAAGGAACUAGGCAAAAUGGUGCCGUAACUUCGGGAGAAGGCACGCUGACACGUAGGUGAAGUGAUUUACUCACGGAGCUGAAGUCAGUCGAAGAUACCAGCUGGCUGCAACUGUUUAUUAAAAACACAGCACUGUGCAAACACGAAAGUGGACGUAUACGGUGUGACGCCUGCCCGGUGCCGGAAGGUUAAUUGAUGGGGUCAGCGCAAGCGAAGCUCCUGAUCGAAGCCCCGGUAAACGGCGGCCGUAACUAUAACGGUCCUAAGGUAGCGAAAUUCCUUGUCGGGUAAGUUCCGACCUGCACGAAUGGCGUAAUGAUGGCCAGGCUGUCUCCACCCGAGACUCAGUGAAAUUGAACUCGCUGUGAAGAUGCAGUGUACCCGCGGCAAGACGGAAAGACCCCGUGAACCUUUACUAUAGCUUGACACUGAACAUUGAGCCUUGAUGUGUAGGAUAGGUGGGAGGCUUUGAAGUGUGGACGCCAGUCUGCAUGGAGCCGACCUUGAAAUACCACCCUUUAAUGUUUGAUGUUCUAACGUGGACCCGUAAUCCGGGUUGCGGACAGUGUCUGGUGGGUAGUUUGACUGGGGCGGUCUCCUCCUAAAGAGUAACGGAGGAGCACGAAGGUUGGCUAAUCCUGGUCGGACAUCAGGAGGUUAGUGCAAUGGCAUAAGCCAGCUUGACUGCGAGCGUGACGGCGCGAGCAGGUGCGAAAGCAGGUCAUAGUGAUCCGGUGGUUCUGAAUGGAAGGGCCAUCGCUCAACGGAUAAAAGGUACUCCGGGGAUAACAGGCUGAUACCGCCCAAGAGUUCAUAUCGACGGCGGUGUUUGGCACCUCGAUGUCGGCUCAUCACAUCCUGGGGCUGAAGUAGGUCCCAAGGGUAUGGCUGUUCGCCAUUUAAAGUGGUACGCGAGCUGGGUUUAGAACGUCGUGAGACAGUUCGGUCCCUAUCUGCCGUGGGCGCUGGAGAACUGAGGGGGGCUGCUCCUAGUACGAGAGGACCGGAGUGGACGCAUCACUGGUGUUCGGGUUGUCAUGCCAAUGGCACUGCCCGGUAGCUAAAUGCGGAAGAGAUAAGUGCUGAAAGCAUCUAAGCACGAAACUUGCCCCGAGAUGAGUUCUCCCUGAGACUUAGAGUCUCCUGAAGGAACGUUGAAGACGACGACGUUGAUAGGCCGGGUGUGUAAGCGCAGCGAUGCGUUGAGCUAACCGGUACUAAUGAACCGUGAGGCUUAACCUU